rnacentral:rRNA from 1 species
AACGAACGCUGGCGGCAUGCCUAACACAUGCAAGUCGAACGAAGCCUUCGGGCUUAGUGGCGCACGGGUGCGUAACACGUGGGAAUCUGCCUUUAGGUACGGAAUAACUCAGGGAAACUUGUGCUAAUACCGUAUGAUGACUUCGGUCCAAAGGUUUAUCGCCUAGGGAUGAGCCCGCGUCGGAUUAGCUAGUUGGUGGGAAAGACCGUACCAAGGCGACGAUCCGUAGCUGGUCUGAGAGGAUGAUCAGCCACACUGGGACUGAGACACGGCCCAGACUCCUACGGGAGGCAGCAGUGGGGAAUAUUGGACAAUGGGCGAAAGCCUGAUCCAGCAAUGCCGCGUGAGUGAAGAAGGCCUUC